rnacentral:misc_RNA from 1 species
AAAUGCGAUAAGUAAUGUGAAUUGCAGAAUUCAGUGAAUCAUCGAAUCUUUGAACGCACAUUGCGCCCGCCAGCACUCUGGCGGGCAUGCCUGUCCGAGCGUCAUUACGCACCCUCAAGCCCGGCUUGUUUGAUGGGCCCCGGCGUCUCGUUCGCGAGACGGGCCCGAAAGGCAGCGGCGGCGUCGACCCGAUGAGCCCGAGCGUAUGGGGACUUCUGUCACACGUUCGCGGUGCGGACCGGCGCCUGCUUGACUUUUCUGAUUAUCCAGGUUGACCUCGGAUCAGGUAGGGAUACCCGCUGAACUUAAGC